rnacentral:rRNA from 1 species
UACGGAGGGUGCAAGCGUUUAUCCGGAUUCACUGGGUUUAAAGGGUGCGUAGGUGGGCAGUUAAGUCAGUGGUGAAAUCUCCGGGCUUAACCCGGAAACUGCCAUUGAUACUAUCUGUCUUGAAUGUCGUGGAGGUAAGCGGAAUAUGUCAUGUAGCGGUGAAAUGCUUAGAUAUGACAUAGAGCAACCAAUUGCGAAGGCAGCUUACUACACGAAUAUUGACACUGAGGCACGAAAGCGUGGGGAUCAAACAGG